rnacentral:tRNA from 1 species
GGAGGAGUGGCCGAGCGGUUUAAGGCACCGGUCUUGAAAACCGACGUGGGGGGAACCCCACCGUGGGUUCGAAUCCCACCUCCUCCGCCA